AGGCACGUGUGAAGUGUUACGUCACUCAAAGCGAAUCAGCCUUGAGCUACUGUUGGAUACACACAUGCAAUCUGUUCAUCUGCUCAAUGGUUGAUGAUUUAUUAAAACGAGAAGUUGAAAUUGAAUCAAUUUUCGCUCCGUUGAAGGUUAAACUCUUUAGUUCAUCAGUUACCGCUAGUCUAUGGUACCAAAGUAGUUGGUUUAUUCAGCAGUGAUUCGUAAAUUCAGUAUGUCUAUGACAUCCAAGCAGUUGGUUUAUUCAGCGGUGAUUCGUAAAUUCAGAGGACUGUGACCCAAUCAGGAUGAUUACUCUCCCGCGCAUCUAUGAGGGAUUAAUUCUAACGUUUCUCGGAAAUAAAUACGAUCGGCCGUUAAUUGACUUCGACGUGUAUAAUUUUCGUCGAUUCAAUCAGCUAUUCGACGUCUUGUUACGCAGCAUUGGUACAGAUUCUGAAAUUAACGGAGCACGGGAGGAGGGGAUAAAAAAGAAACGUUGCAAUUUAUACGGGUCACGCUUUGAUACACGCGUUGCGUUGAAUUAUCGAGCAAUUGCGCAAUGAAAAAUUAUAUUGCCGUGUACGGAGUGAAUUUACAAUCGCUCCGUUUUAUCGAUAUCGCCGUACGGUCGUUGGAUGAUGCUUUAAAUCCAUGGAAUAUAUAUGACGCAAUUUGUGAAACGGCACGAACGGCUGACAGCAGAACGUUACCGUCGCUUUCGUAGAUAAUCGAUCUCAAAAGCAGUUCUAGUAUCGUAUACGGAUAUAAAAUGUGCUCAAUCGCUAAUCACUUAAGUAAACAAGCUAUAAAGAGGAUUUUAUUUUUACCAAAAUUGGAUUUUUCGAUCAAAGAUUACAGACGAUGAUAAAAGGUGUCAUAUGACUGGAGUUGAGAGUGUCAAGCAUGAAUCGUUGAUUGUGCGAAUUGCGCAAUCUAACAGUCCCUCUUUAGUGAAAGUUUUGUGAAAAAUCCAACCGUACCAUAAUUACUUCUUUCCUCCAUGAACGAGUAGUAACAAAGAAUCCAUUAGCCGAGAAUAAAAAAGAACUGUUCCCGAAAGGAUCGUUUCCUGGGAAUAUCCGGCUACCUACCGUAUUACCAGGAACCGGAAAGGUAGCAUCAAUUCUUGUUGGUCCAAAGCGUAACGCCGCAUACAGCGAUCAUACGAUGCGAUCCUGAGAGCAGGUACGGACUUGGGCCGAUCGUCCGGCACGUUCAAAUAUCGACGUUCAAAUAUCAAUAGAGGCUGCCGCUAAGUCGUCGCGAAACGCCCGCGAUUGCGAGCACUUCGCUUGAAUACAGUCGUUACGUUUCCACCCUCUCGUAUCCCAGUCGUGUAUAGACCCUUCCAAGUCUUCUUAGUCCAUUCCCGCUGUCCCCGUGAGCCUUUCACCCGACUAUCGAGUCGUUCGCUCCUCGUGUUUAAGACAAUUGUACUCCGGGUAAAAAGAACUACGUACUCCUUUCCUAAUUGCAGGAAAAGGAAGUACGACUUCUUUGAAACGUUUGAACAAUUCCUCUUAUUACUUCGACGUCGAAUAUUAAUUUUCCAUCAUUAUUAAAUUCACUUCUAUAUUUGGCAGUUUUCCUUUCGAAUCUUCCCACUUUUCCUAAGGGAACAUAAUACCUGUAAAUAGAGUUGAGAAAAAAUAAAGAGAUAUUCCUUCCUCUG